rnacentral:rRNA from 1 species
ACGGAGGGGGCCAGCGUUGCUCGGAAUUACUGGGCGUAAAGGGCGCGUAGGCGGCCACCGCAAGUCGACUGUGAAAUCUCCGGGCUUAACCCGGAACGGUCAGCCGAUACUGCGGGGCUAGAGUGCAGAAGGGGCAACUGGAAUUCUCGGUGUAGCGGUGAAAUGCGUAGAUAUCGAGAGGAACACCCGCGGCGAAGGCGGGUUGCUGGGCUGACACUGACGCUGAUGUGCGAAAGCUAGGGGAGCGAACGGGA